rnacentral:rRNA from 1 species
AUACGGAGGGUGCGAGCGUUAAUCGGAAUUACUGGGCGUAAAGCGUACGUAGGCGGUUGGUUAAGUUAGAUGUGAAAGCCCCGGGCUUAACCUGGGAACUGCAUUUAAAACUGGCGAACUUGAGUUGAGUAGAGGGGAGUGGAAUUUCAGGUGUAGCGGUGAAAUGCGUAGAGAUCUGAAGGAACACCAGUGGCGAAGGCGACUCCCUGGACUCGAACUGACGCUGAGGUACGAAAGCGUGGGUAGCAAACGGGAUUAGAUACCCUAGUAGUCC